CCUACGGUGGCUGCAGUGGGGAAUAUUGGACAAUGGGCGAGAGCCUGAUCCAGCCAUGCCGCGUGUGUGAAGAAGGCCUUCGGGUUGUAAAGCACUUUCAGUGGGGAAGAAAGCCUUGGGGCUAAUACCCUCGAGGAAGGACAUCACCCACAGAAGAAGCACCGGCUAACUCCGUGCCAGCAGCCGCGGUAAUACGGAGGGUGCGAGCGUUAAUCGGAAUUACUGGGCGUAAAGCGCGCGUAGGCGGUCUGAUAAGCCGGUUGUGAAAGCCCCGGGCUCAACCUGGGAACGGCAUCCGGAACUGUCAGGCUAGAGUGCAGGAGAGGAAGGUAGAAUUCCCGGUGUAGCGGUGAAAUGCGUAGAGAUCGGGAGGAAUACCAGUGGCGAAGGCGGCCUUCUGGACUGACACUGACGCUGAGGUGCGAAAGCGUGGGUAGCAAACAGGAUUAGAUACCCCAGUAGUC
rnacentral:rRNA from 1 species